CGACCUCAGAUCAGGUGGGACUCCCCGCCGAAUUUAAGCAUAUUAGUAAGCGGAGGAAAAGAAACUAACAAGGAUUCCCUUAGUAGCUGCGAGCGAACAGGGAAGAGCCCAGCACUGAAUCCCGAAGGCCUCGCCUUCAGGGAGAUGUGGUGUUUAGGAGUGCCCGACCAACCCGGGGUUCGUGCACCGCGUUCAAGUCCAUCUUGAACGGGGCCACGGUCCGUAGAGGGUGCCAGGCCCGUAGAUGACCGGUGCCGGCCCCGGGUGGGUUCCUCCUUAGAGUCGGGCUGCUUGAGAGUGCAGCCCAAAGAAGGUGGUAAACUCCAUCUAAGGCUAAAUACAACCACGAGACCGAUAGAGAACAAGUACCGUGAGGGAAAGUUGAAAAGAACUUUGAAGAGAGAGUUCAAGAGUACGUGAAACCGCUCAGGGGUAAACGGAAAAGACCCGAAACACCGAAAAGGGAGAUUCACGUUUUCUCGCCGGUGCCGGCCCUCGGGAGGGGGAUGGCCUCACGCCCCGCCUCGGUUUACCGUGGGCGGUGGGUAGGCUGCCCUCCCCGGGGUGUCCGGUCCGGCGGAGGACCGCACUUCUCCCCCAGUAGGACGUCGCGACCCGCUCCGCGGCGGUCUAACGGCCGGUAGAAGGCCUGGCCGGGGUUCCCUUCGGGGUCCUCCCGUCCAGCUCUCCGGACCCGCGACCGCCGACCGGGGCGGCAUGGAACGAUGUAGCACUGGGCCGCUCCUCCGAGAGCGCCGCCGUCUCCCCGCAAGCCCGGGUCUGGCCGUCGGGUCGUUCCCUCACGGGUACGCUCGGCGUCCGCUCGGACUGUUGGCGGGGGGUACUCCGGCAGCCGUCCAGCACGCUCGUCGGCGGCGCUUCAGAUUCGGGUUCUUAUCCGACCCGUCUUGAAACACGGACCAAGGAGUCUAGCAUGUGCGCGAGUCACUGGGUGUAAAACCUAAAGGCGUAAUGAAAGUGUCAGAGGGCGCUCUCGCGCCCUCGGUGGGAGGAUGGGUUUCCGGCCUCCCGGCCGGUGCCCCGCACUCCCGGGGCGUCUCAUUCUCGUUUCGAGUCGAGACGCACCAGGAGCGCACACGCUGGUACCCGAAAGAUGGUGAACUAUGCCUGGCCAGGACGAAGCCAGGGGAAACCCUGGUGGAGGUCCGAAGCGAUUCUGACGUGCAAAUCGAUCGUCUGAGCUGGGUAUAGGGGCGAAAGACCAAUCGAACCAUCUAGUAGCUGGUUCCCUCUGAAGUUUCCCUCAGGAUAGCUGGCUCUCGGGAAGAGAUGAGUCUCAUCCGGUAGAGCGAAUGAUUAGAGGUGAUGGGGUCGAAACGACUUCAACCUAUUCUCAAACUCCCAAUAGAUGAGAGCCCCGGCUUGCUUGAAAGUGAAGCCGCGGGACUCGGAUCAGAGAGGCCAAGUGGGCCAAUUUUGGUAAGCAGAACUGGCGCUGUGGGAUGAACCAAACGCGGAGUUAAGGCGCCCGAUUCGACGCUCAUCUGAAACCAUGAAAGGCGUUGGUUGCUUAAGACAUCAGGACGGUGGCCAUGGAAGUCGGAAUCCGCUAAGGAGUGUGUAACAACUCACCUGCCGAAGCAACUAGCCCUGAAAAUGGAUGGCGCUGUAGCGUCGUGCCUAUACUCCGCCGUCAACGGCAAAACGGGCGGCCCCUUCAAGGGGGCGUCGCCGUUAGGCCUUGACGAGUAAGAGGGUCGCGGCGGUGUGCGCGGAAGGGUCUGGGCGUGAGCCCGCCUGGAGCCGCCGCCGGUGCAGAUCUUGGUGGUAGUAGCAAAUACUCCAGCGAGGCCCUGGAGGACUGAUGUGGAGAAGGGUUUCUUGUGAACAGCUGUUGCACAAGAGUCAGUCGAUCCUAAGCCCUAGGAGAAAUCCGAAGCGAUGGUCUGCCGUUAUUUUACUCUUUGGUGUGCCCGCCUCGCGCGCGCGCUCGCUCGCCCGCCGGCCCACCACCCACCCCCCUCGCCGGGGGUCGGGUGGCGGUCGGCGGGCGGCCCGCCGCCGAGGCGCGGUGACACUCUCAAGUGAGCCGGCACCGUCUGGGCGAAAGGGAAUCCGGUUCCUAUUCCGGAACCCGGCAGCGGAACCGCUCCAAUUCGGGCCCUCUUUGAGGACUCGUCGGGGUGACCCGAAAUGACCCGGAGAAGCCGUAGGGAGGUCCGGGGAGAGUUGUCUCUUCUCUAUAAGCGUUCGAGUUCCCUGGAAUCCUCUAGGAGGGAGAUAGGGUUUGGAACGCGAAGAGCACCGCACUUACGGCGGUGUCCGGAUCUUCCCCUCGGACCUUGAAAAUCCGGGCGAGGGCCACGAGGAACACCGCGCCGGCUCGUACCCAUAUCCGCAGCAGGUCUCCAAGGUGAAUAGCCUCUAGUCGAUAGAAUAAUGUAGGUAAGGGAAGUCGGCAAACCCGAUCUGUAACUUCGGGACAAGGAUUGGCUCUGAGGAUCGUGGCGCGCCGGGCUUGGUCGGGAAGUGGAGCGGC
rnacentral:rRNA from 1 species